AUUGAACGCUGGCGGCAGGCCUAACACAUGCAAGUCGAGCGGACGAAGGGAGCUUGCUCCUGGAUUCAGCGGCGGACGGGUGAGUAAUGCCUAGGAAUCUGCCUGGUAGUGGGGGAUAACGUCCGGAAACGGGCGCUAAUACCACAUACGUCCUGAGGGAGAAAGUGGGGGAUCUUCGGACCUCACGCUAUCAGAUGAGCCUAGGUCGGAUUAGCUAGUUGGUGGGGUAAAGGCCUACCAAGGCGACGAUCCGUAACUGGUCUGAGAGGAUGAUCAGUCACACUGGAACUGAGACACGGUCCAGACUCCUACGGGAGGCAGCAGUGGGGAAUAUUGGACAAUGGGCGAAAGCCUGAUCCAGCCAUGCCGCGUGUGUGAAGAAGGUCUUCGGAUUGUAAAGCACUUUAAGUUGGGAGGAAGGGCAGUAAGUUAAUACCUUGCUGUUUUGACGUUACCAACAGAAUAAGCACCGGCUAACUUCGUG
rnacentral:rRNA from 1 species